CGGCAGCACGGGAGCAAUCCUGGUGGCGAGUGGCGAACGGGUGAGUAAUACAUCGGAACGUGUCCUGUAGUGGGGGAUAGCCCGGCGAAAGCCGGAUUAAUACCGCAUACGCUCUACGGAGGAAAGGGGGGGAUCUUAGGACCUCUCGCUACAGGGGCGGCCGAUGGCAGAUUAGCUAGUUGGUGGGGUAAAGGCCUACCAAGGCGACGAUCUGUAGCUGGUCUGAGAGGACGACCAGCCACACUGGGACUGAGACACGGCCCAGACUCCUACGGGAGGCAGCAGUGGGGAAUUUUGGACAAUGGGCGCAAGCCUGAUCCAGCAAUGCCGCGUGUGUGAAGAAGGCCUUCGGGUUGUAAAGCACUUUUGUCCGGAAAGAAAACUUCCUGGUUAAUACCCGGGGAGGAUGACGGUACCGGAAGAAUAAGCACCGGCUAACUACGUGCCAGCAGCCGCGGUAAUACGUAGGGUGCAAGCGUUAAUCGGAAUUACUGGGCGUAAAGCGUGCGCAGGCGGUCCGCUAAGACAGAUGUGAAAUCCCCGGGCUUAACCUGGGAACUGCAUUUGUGACUGGCGGGCUAGAGUAUGGCAGAGGGGGGUAGAAUUCCACGUGUAGCAGUGAAAUGCGUAGAGAUGUGGAGGAAUACCGAUGGCGAA
rnacentral:rRNA from 1 species